rnacentral:lncRNA from 1 species
CUCAGAGUAGUGCUUCUCAAAUGUUAAUGUGCAUAUGCCAAAUCACGUGGGCAUCUUGUUAAAAUGCAGAGUUUUGAGUUGAGGGUCUGGGGAGGGCUGAGAUUGUGCAGUUCUAAGGGGAUGCCAGGUGGUGCCAAUUCUGCUGCAUUGGACACCACACAGAGUGGCGAGGUCACUAAAUAAUAGGAGCGAAAGGAUUGUGAGAACACCGACAUCAGUGAGAAGGAGGCUGGCUGCAGAGACCAUGAAAAUGAAAUCUAUGCAUGGAGUGCAACCUUGCUGAGAAUAUUUGUUUCCUUUCUAUAUUGUCUCUCCAUGGCCUGCUCGUUCCCUUCAGAAUGGGGCUACCACAUGGUCAGGAGGAAGAGACUCACAGAGAAAGAUGAAGGUUGCAGAGAGUUGCUGUGGAAAUAGCACAUGCUGAAGGAGUCUUCUAAGCAGCCCAGAGGCGAUGACAUACCAGUGCCAGCAGAGGAGGAGAACCACGCUUCAGUAUAACAAAAACUUCAGUGAAUCAUGCUCGAUGUGGAAAAGUUGAAUAGACAUGGCUAAGGAUAAAAGAAAAAAAAUACACAUAAUCUCACUACCCAG